GAAAGGAUCCAGGUAUGGGUGGAAUGGAUAUGAGAGAGCGGAAUAUGAAUUCUGAUACAUUUUCUAUUGUCUUCAUUUCUGUGCCUUAAGCAGCCUUGCUCCUUGCUGUCCCUCUCUACAGAAGGAGGGGGGUCAUGGGGGAUUGUGGGUCAUAAACAUCUG